UACGUAGGGUGCGAGCGUUGUCCGGAAUUAUUGGGCGUAAAGAGCUCGUAGGCGGUGUGUCACGUCGGCCGUGAAAACCUGCAGCUUAACUGUGGGCGUGCGGUCGAUACGGGCAUCACUGGAGUUCGGCAGGGGAGACUGGAAUUCCUGGUGUAGCGGUGAAAUGCGCAGAUAUCAGGAGGAACACCGAUGGCGAAGGCAGGUCUCUGGGCCGAUACUGACGCUGAGGA
rnacentral:rRNA from 1 species